AGGGCACCACCAGGAGUGGAGCCUGCGGCUUAAUUUGACUCAACACGGGAAAACUCACCCGGCCCGGACACCGUAAGGAUUGACAGACUGAGAGCUCUUUCUUAAUUCGGUGGGUGGUGGUGCAUGGCCGUUCUUAGUUGGUGGAGCGAUUUGUCUGGUUAAUUCCGAUAACGAACGAGACUCUGGCCUAUUAAAUAGACGAUAUAUUAAAAAGUAUAUCGCGCUUCUUAGAGGGACAAGCGGCGUCUAGCCGCAUGAAAUAGAGCAAUAACAGGUCUGUGAUGCCCUUAGAUGUCCGGGGGCUGCACGCGCGCUACACUGAAAAGAAAUCAGUGGGGCGUUUUUACCUAGUUUCGGGAAAGGACUGGGGUAACCAAGGUAAAUUUCUUUUCGUGCUUUGGGAUAAGGGAAUUGCAAUUAUUUUCCCCUUUAAACGGAGGGAAUUCCCCAGUAAAUUCCGGGUCAUAAGCCUCCGAAGUUGAAUUAACGUCCCUUGCCCUUGGAAACACACCGGCCGUG
rnacentral:rRNA from 1 species